rnacentral:lncRNA from 1 species
AAUUUGUAUCAUCCUAACGCUAUGUGAGACAUGCAUGAACACAAAAUUGAAAAUAUAAUCCUAAUUUGUGAGGACCUCCUGUUUUUUUCACCGCAGAUAAACGAAGCGAGGACCGAGACAAAAUGCGUGUCUGCCAAUCUGCAGAGUUAAAAAGAUUUCCUGCAAAUGUUUUUAUAUUAUGUCAUAUUUUAAUACUAGCAAUGUGAACGAAGAAUCUGAAAAUCAAAACAGAGCAGUUAUUAUUGUUUUCAAGCCUUAGUGUGAAUUAUAUUAGAUAAACAUAAUUGUAAGAGCUAUCAGGAGAACAUUUAUUCGGUUUUUAUGGCACUGCAACGAAGUUGUCGGGGCCGUAUAGUUUUACCCUUGUCCGUCAUUUCGUCAUUCCGUCAUUCCGCAACAAACCAUUAUACGAAC